ACGAACGCUGGCGGCGUGCUUAACACCUGCAAGUCGAACGGAAAGGCCCUGCUUUUGUGGGGUGCUCGAGUGGCGAACGGGUGAGUAACACGUGAGUAACCUGCCCUUGACUUUGGGAUAACUUCAGGAAACUGGGGCUAAUACCGGAUAGGAGCUCCUGCUGCAUGGUGGGGGUUGGAAAGUUUCGGCGGUUGGGGAUGGACUCGCGGCUUAUCAGCUUGUUGGUGGGGUAGUGGCUUACCAAGGCUUUGACGGGUAGCCGGCCUGAGGGGGUGACCGGCCACAUUGGGACUGAGAUACGGCCCAGACUCCUACGGGAGGCAGCAGUGGGGAAUAUUGCACAAUGGGCGGAAGCCUGAUGCAGCAACGCCGCGUGCGGGAUGACGGCCUUCGGGUUGUAAACCGCUUUCGCCUGUGACGAAGCGUGAGUGACGGUAAUGGGUAAAGAAGCACCGGCUAACUACGUG
rnacentral:rRNA from 1 species